CAGAGGGUGCGAGCGUUAAUCGGAAUUACUGGGCGUAAAGCGCGCGUAGGCGGCUUUGCAAGUCGGGUGUGAAAUCCCCAGGCUUAACCUGGGAACUGCAUUCGAGACUGCAUUGCUAGAGUAUGGGAGAGGGAAGUGGAAUUUCCGGUGUAGCGGUGAAAUGCGUAGAUAUCGGAAGGAACAUCAGUGGCGAAAGCGACUUCCUGGACCAAUACUGACGCUCAUGUGCGAAAGCGUGGGGAGCAAACAGGAUUAGAUACCCUGGUAGUCCACGCCAUAAACGAUGACAACUGGAUGUCGGGAGGGUCUGCCUCUCGGUGUCGUAGCUAACGCGUUAAGUUGUCCGCCUGGGGAGUACGGCCGCAAGGUUG
rnacentral:rRNA from 1 species